rnacentral:sRNA from 1 species
GAGAGUUAAGGCACUGGAAUUAGUUAACAUGUUUCUGAAUUCGGAAUACUGGGCAGAUCUUUUCUCAACAAUUGUUACAAAAGCACGCUUAAUCAAAGUACUUGAAAAUGGUUCAAACCGAAGGGGAGUUUUGUUGUUGAUGAGUGAAGAGCUGCAUGUUCUUUCACCUUUAGUUCCAUCUCGGGAAAUGUUCUUCCUUCGUUAUUGUGAACAGAUUGAAACACAUUCAUGGGUGAUAGUAGAU